UUUCCCUCAGGAUAGCUGGCACUCGCUUGAGCGAGUCUCAUCUGGUAAAGCGAAUGAUUAGAGGCCUUGGGGCCGAAACGACCUCAACCUAUUCUCAAACUUUAAAUGGGUGAGAUCUCUGGCUUGCUUGAACGUUGAAGCCACGAGAUUAUUGUUUAAUGGAUCAGAGUGCCAAGUGGGCCAAUUUUGGUAAGCAGAACUGGCGCUGUGGGA
rnacentral:rRNA from 1 species